UACGGGGGGGGCAAGCGUUGUUCGGAAUUACUGGGCGUAAAGGGCUCGUAGGCGGCCAACUAAGUCAUACGUGAAAUCCCUCGGCUUAACCGGGGAACUGCGUCUGAUACUGGAUGGCUUGAGUUCGGGAGAGGAUGCGGAAUUCCAGGUGUAGCGGUGAAAUGCGUAGAUAUCUGGAGGAACACCGGUGGCGAAGGCGGCAUCCUGGACCGAUACUGACGCUGAUGAGCGAAAGCCAGGGGAGCAAACGGG
rnacentral:rRNA from 1 species